AUUGAACGCUGGCGGCGUGCUUAACACAUGCAAGUCGUGCGGUAACAGGCGUAGCAAUACGUGCUGACGAGCGGCGAACGGGUGCGUAAUACAUGGGAAUCUGCCCUUUAGUGGGGAAUAACCCGGCGAAAGCCGGGCUAAUGCCGCAUAAGAUCUUCGGAUGAAAGCGGGGGAUCGUAAGACCUCGCGCUGAUGGAUGAGCCCAUGUCGGAUUAGCAGUUGGUGAGGUAACGGCUCACCAAGGCGACGAUCCGUAGCUGGUCUGAGAGGACGGCCAGCCACACUGGGACUGAGACACGGCCCAGACUCCUACGGGAGGCAGCAGUGGGGAAUAUUGGACAAUGGGGAAACCCUGAUCCAGCGACGCCGCGUGUGUGAAGAAGGCCUGCGGGUUGUAAA
rnacentral:rRNA from 1 species